CUCGCGACCCUCUGAUUAUCUGCCGUGUCCCCAAUUGUUUCCUCCUGUGUCCAAUGACCUGUACCUCCCCAGUGUAUUUAAACCACGUGUGUCCCUUGGUUCAUUAAAUGAGCUUCAUAUGUCGGUGAGUGUUUGUUUGCCCGUGUCCUGGUCCUCGUUUUGCCUAUAGGCAUUUCUGAUUAUUUAAUUAAAGGCUUUAUUUUUUUGCUUGAAUUCUGCGUUUUGAGUCCUCCUGUCUCUGGUUCAAAGCCCCCCAGCUGUGCUGCGUUAUUCAGGGGCCAUUUAAAGGUUUCCUGGAGUCUUUAGGAAAGCUGCAGAAGAAGUUUUAUGACAAAGGCCAGCGCAAGAAGUGUCCCAUCCGGACCUACUUGGUGACGUCUCGCGGCGCAGGCAGCUCUGGUACCAGAGCCCUAAAAACUCUGCGCUCCUGGGAUCUGGAGAUGGACGAGGCUCUCUUGAGGUCAGGGGCACCGAAGGGCCCCAUGCUCGAGAAGAUCAGGCCGCACAUCUUCUUUGACGACCAGAUGUCUCAUGUGGAGGGGGCAAAAGCAGCGGGGGUAGUAGCUUGCCAUGUUCCCUAUGGCAAGUGGGUUAGCUCAUAGAGAUACUAAGAGAUAGUAAUGGAUAUAAAACCCGGCUGAUAUUGUAUGACCCUUGUAUGAUGAAGUUAUCCAGCCUUCUAACUAAACAGGGAGGAUAAACCCAUUUUAAACAUACAUUUGUUCUUAGCUUGGCCUGUAUUUGUCUUAUGAAGAAUUAUUAAAUGAUUCUUUACACUUUAAUAAAGUUAUUUUUGGAAACUUAUAAA